UUUUAUGAUCAUCACAUAAUUGUCCCACCUCUGAAAACCACUCUUUAGGCUCUGUCUUUGUGUGAUCCUUUUUGUGGUGCUGGCUUUGCCCCAUUGAGGUUUCUGGGGGCUGCCUUUUCCAGACUCCCUUUUCUAUCACUUUUAUGUCCUCUCUAGGCAAUCUCUUCUCUCAUUGUAGCUUUACCUAACAUCUCCCUGGAUGACUGUAUAAAACUACUUUCUUUAGUUCCGUUCUAGAAUUUCAGAUUCAAAUUUUUUCUUAUAUAUUUUUUAUACCUUUACUUUAUUUAUUUUUAUGUGGUGCGGAGGAUUGAACCCAGGGCCUCGCACAUGCUGGGCAAGCACUCUACCGCUGAGCCUCAACCUCAGCCCCAUCAGAUUCAAAUUUUUAACUUCCUCCAAACUCCCCAGUCCAGAAGUGCAGACUGCAGGGCUUAAGACGAGUCCAGCUUUGAGUAUUGGCUCUGUGACAUUGACCCCAUCCAUCCUAGAGUCUUGCUGAGCCUCAGGUCCUCAACUGGGGAAUAUGAGAAUACCCACCUUAACAGGUUGCUGGGAAUGUCAUUCUUUUUCUUUUAGUUGUAACCUUCUCCAUUGUUCCCAUUUCUGUAAUGGCAACACAAUCUUCCACAAUCUUCCUGGCCUGACACAACAGAACUGUCCUCCCCAUGCCUGUCACAUUUCUUUUCCCUCCACUCUUCUCUCCUUAGUCAUUUCCCUUGGCAUAGACCUUAUUCCUUCUUGUCAGAGUGAUCUGAGAUUUCCUAGACUGCUUCUAGUGCCUCUCCUGAGGCCUCCUGUUUAGAUUUACCUUCCUAAUGCAGGGCUGUCUACAUUUCUCCCUGUACUAGUUAACCACCACUGUGUAACAGAUAUCCCAAACUUGGCAGCUUGUAGCUACCUCAUGUGGUUUCUGGGUUCAGGAUUCCCACAGCUGAGGUCUCAUGAGGUUGCAGUUGAGGUGUUGACCCUGGAUGCUGUCAUGUGAAGGCUUGAUAGCCUACAUAUCUGCUUUCAAAGGAGUUCACUCCUAUGGCUGUUGACAAGAGGCCUGACCUCAUUUGCUGAUUAUAUGGUCCAUUCUCUGUAGGGCCUCUGAGUCCCUGACAUGGCACCUGGUUUUCCCUAGAGAGAGGGAUCUAAAGGCAGAAGCUACAGUAUGUCUUCUAUGACACAUUCCAAGACCCAGUCUCAGAAAUCACCCUCUUGCUCUCUAUAAUAGCCUAGUGGUCACAUAGGUCACUGGUAUUCCAUGUGGGUAUGAAUACAAGGUGAGAAUCAUGAGCUAUGUGGAGUCCAGACACUAAAUUCCUCUUCCUUACUAUCUCUUGAGUUUCUUCACAUUGAGUACAGAAUGAAACCACUUAGCUCUACAGUCUGACCCCGGCCCACUUCACCCUGCCCUGCCCAACAGGGAGGUCCACCUCAAUUUCCUACUGAUUCCAUUUGGUUCUGUUUUUGCUUCUCCAACUGCCCUGGCUGGAGUGUUUUCCCUUGUUUCUGGGAACAGAAACAAAUCCCACCUGCUCUUCAAGGGCCAACCUUUUCAGCACUUCUUUUGUUUAUUGGUGCUGUGGUUGAAACCUAGGGCCUUGUGCAUGCUAAGCAAGUGCUCUGCCACUGAGCUACACCCCCAGCCCUUUGAAAUUUAAAGUCCUUUAAUCAUAGUUACUAUUUUCUGUUAUGUAUCACUGUACUUACUACUUUUCAAUGCAUGCAUACAUAUGAUGUAUGUGUCAUUGUAAUUGGCUUAUUCGCCCUCAGCUUCUCUGCCUGGUUAAAUUAUUCAGGAGCUGAGAUGUAACCAGAACUUCACAUACCUGGCCUCAGGCCCGGUAGGUGCUCAGUCAAGAUUCACAAUCUGCAUGAUGCCAGCAGCUGUUUACUCUCCACUGUGUGCCCACUCCCAGCUAUAGCUGAGCACUCUAGAGGGAUAUUAAAAAGUAUUGAACAUAGUCAGUGUAGGCAGUGCAGGAUUGUGUUCUCUGGUGGGCUCUUUUGAGAGAAGCUCAGAGCAGUGUGUACUGAGUUGGUUUGGGAAGGUGGGGCCUGCAAUUACCUUGAGACAGGAGCAGUAGGAUAGAGUGUCCUGACACAGCAGCGGGAGGCUCCCAACCAGAGCUCCUGGAUAUACAUGUGCUCUGGGAGCCAGGGGAGGUGUCCUUGAUACCACCAUAUGGGGCUGUUAGGAACUCUUCCAAAUCCUUUAUAUAUUUUUUAAAUUUAUUGUUGUUAAUUCCUGAAGCUAUGUAUGCUUCUUAUGACAAGUGAAAUAAUUCAGUAUAUGAUAAAAAGUUAAUUGUCCCCUUCCACCCUAUUCAAAUUCUCCUCUUCCUACCACUCUUGUUAAUUAUGG
rnacentral:lncRNA from 1 species